GGCCGACUAGCUCAGUUGGUUAGAGCGUGGUGCUAAUAAGCAUUGCUUACGUAACGCCAAGGUCGUCGGUUCGAUCCCGGCGUUGGCCA